rnacentral:misc_RNA from 1 species
GCCAAGUAUAUGCGUGUCUGCCGAUUAAAACCAAGGGCAGCAAGCAUUAGCACUGUCUCUUCAGGCAUUAAAGGACACAAUCCUUCAGCCUUUAGAGUUGCUGGGGAAGGCAACUUUGUGGUCUUCUUGAGUUCCACUAAUGCAGGGAAGUGGAUUUCACGAUAUAAUUCCAGUUCAUUUCUUUCUUCUUCACCCCCACCAUAUUCACAGAGGGAAUGAGCCACCAUAUCAAUUUCAAACCUCAGA